UGCGUAGGCGGGUUUCUAAGUCAGAGGUGAAAGCCUGGAGCUCAACUCCAGAACUGCCUUUGAUACUGGAAGUCUUGAGUAUGGCAGAGGUGAGUGGAACUGCGAGUGUAGAGGUGAAAUUCGUAGAUAUUCGCAAGAACACCAGUGGCGAAGGCGGCUCACUGGCUCGAUACUGACGCUGAGGUGCGAAAGCGUGGGAGCAAACA
rnacentral:rRNA from 1 species